rnacentral:rRNA from 1 species
UACGAAGGGGGCGAGCGUUGUUCGGAAUUACUGGGCGUAAAGGGCGCGCAGGCGGCUCUGAAAGUCAGAUGUGAAAGCCCCGGGCUUAACCUGGGAAUUGCAUUUGAUACUCUGGAGCUUGAGUGUGGGAGAGGAGAGUGGAAUUCCCAGUGUAGAGGUGAAAUUCGUAGAUAUUCGGAAGAACACCAGUGGCGAAGGCGGCUCACUGGCCCGUUACCGACGCUCAGGCGCGACAGCGUGGGGAGCAAACAGG